GAUGAACGCUGGCGGCGUGCCUAAUACAUGCAAGUCGAGCGGACAGACGCUACGUUUGCUGGUCUGUCGUUUGCCGAACGCGUGAGUAAAACGCGUGUAACCCGCCCUUAACUUUGGGGUAACACCUGGGGAAUGGGGCGAAAAUCCCAUAUGAUCUUCUGCUGCGCGGUGUUGGAUGGAAAAAGUCGGUGUUUGGGGAUCGUCUGGCGGGUUAUCAGCUUCAUUGUCAGGUAGUGGCUUACCAGGGUUUUGACGGGUAGGCGGCCUGAGAGGGUGGACGGGCACAUUGGGACUGAGGUACGGCCCAGAAGCCUACGGGAGGCAACAGUGGGGAAUAUUGCACAAUGGGCGGAAGCGUGAUGCAGCAACGUCGCGUGCGGGAUGACGGCCUUCGGGUUGUAAACAGAUUUGGACUGUGACGAAGCGUGAGUGACGGUAAUGGGUAAAGAAGCAACGGCUAACUACGUG
rnacentral:rRNA from 1 species